rnacentral:rRNA from 1 species
GCGGACGGGUGAGUAACGCGUAAAGAACUUGCCCUUUAGACUGGGAUAACAGAGGGAAACUUCUGAUAAUACUGGAUAAGUUAGUAUAUCGCAUGAUAUACAAAUGAAAGCUACGGCACUAAAGGAGAGCUUUGCGUCCUAUUAGCUAGUUGGUAAGGUAAGAGCUUACCAAGGCGAUGAUAGGUAGCCGGCCUGAGAGGGUGGACGGCCACAAGGGGACUGAGAUACGGCCCUUACUCCUACGGGAGGCAGCAGGC